AAGCAUAUCUCAUGAUGAUGGUAGAGGACAUCAACAAGGACUUUAAUAACUCACUUAAAGAAAUAAAGGAAUCCAGAACAUGCUACACUAAAAGAGGAGUUCUCAGGGCUGCCAACCUUAUAGUAGAGGUUGGGUAGUAGUAUAUUUCUCCUACAGAG
ensembl:snoRNA Gm23897 predicted gene, 23897